rnacentral:rRNA from 1 species
CUCAACUGGGAAACUGCAUCGGAAACUGAUCGGCUUGAAGGUGGGAGAGGGCAGUGGAAUUCCCGGUGUAGUGGUGAAAUGCGUAGAUAUCGGGAGGAACACCAGUGGCGAAGGCGACUGCCUGGCCCAUUCUUGACGCUGAGGCGCGAAAGCUAGGGGAGCAAACGGGAUUAGAUACCCCGGUAGUCCUAGCCGUAAACGAUGAACACUAGGCGUAGUCGGUAUCGACCCCGGCUGUGCCGUAGCCAACGCAUUAAGUGUUCCGCCUGGGGAGUACGGCCGCAAGGCUAAAACUCAAAGGAAUUGGCGGGGGCCCGCACAAGCAGCGGAGCGUGUGGUUUAAUUCGUCGCAACGCGAAGAACCUUACCAGGGCUUGACAUGUACCGGAAAACGGCGGAAACGUCGUCCUCCCGCAAGGGACCG